AGUUUGAUCCUGGCUCAGAUUGAACGCUGGCGGCAGGCCUAACACAUGCAAGUCGAACGGUAACAGGAAGCAGCUUGCUGCUUUGCUGACGAGUGGCGGACGGGUGAGUAAUGUCUGGGAAACUGCCUGAUGGAGGGGGAUAACUACUGGAAACGGUAGCUAAUACCGCAUAACGUCGCAAGACCAAAGAGGGGGACCUUCGGGCCUCUUGCCAUCGGAUGUGCCCAGAUGGGAUUAGCUUGUAGGUGGGGUAACGGCUCACCAAGGCGACGAUCCCUAGCUGGUCUGAGAGGAUGACCAGCC
rnacentral:rRNA from 1 species